rnacentral:rRNA from 1 species
AACGAACGCUGGCGGCAGGCCUAACACAUGCAAGUCGAGCGGUAAGGCCCUUUCGGGGGUACGACGAGCGGCGAACGGGUGGAGUAACGACGUGGGUGACCUGCCCUCAGCUCUGGGAUAAGCCUGGGAAACCGGGUCUAAUACCGGAUAUGACUCCAUGACGGCAUGUUGUGGGGUGGAAAGCCUUGUGCGGCUGAGGAUGGGCCCGCGGCCUAUCAGCUUGUUGGUGGGGUGAUGGCCUACCAAGGCGACGACGGGUAGCCGGCCUGAGAGGGCGACCGGCCACACUGGGACUGAGACACGGCCCAGACUCCUACGGGA